rnacentral:lncRNA from 10 species
UUGGAUUAUGUCACUUGUAAUUUACUGUUGAGUAUAUUUUCUAGCAUUCUAAGCCUUUUGAAAAAUUGUGCUCUGUGAAUAGCUAAUUGCUCACCUUUAACCAGAAUAUGUGAUUAACUAGGAUAUCCCAGGCCCCAGCCAUGACAAAUAGCAAAUGUCCCAGAAGAGUCCCCAAAUGAGAGGAUAGAGCUGAGUAGUAUAGGAGGCAGUUUCCCAGUUGGAACCAGAGGCAGCAAACCCCUGCUUGUUUCCUGCUCUGACCAAGCCCAGGUCCCAGAGAACGUUGAUUUAAAUGUCAGUGGUGCGGUUUAUUUAGCUAUUUCAGGAACUGGAGCAUUACCACGGCCAUUGGCAACCAGAAAGCAGCUAGAGCUCAGGAGGGGUGGUGAGCUCCCCAAAGCACAAGGUCUUUUCUUCUUCAGAACUGUCUGGUGGACUGGCCAAGAAUGCUGACAGAGGUGAGAUGCCAGCUUCAGAGGUACCUGUUCUACCUCCCUGGGCUGCCUGCCAAGGAUGCCCUUGGUCUGCCAGAAAAAAAGUAUUGCUGCUUUGCCCUGAUACACACAGAAGUCUAGAUUCCAUUCAUACCAAUAUCGGUCCUUCCUCCCCCAUGAAGCAUGUGAGAUGCUCUCUCUCCAUCGCCAAGUUUCUUCUUUCUGCUGGUUUCUCUGGCAAAAAGGCAAGAGGCAAGAACUGAUGUGGGAAACAGUGGCAGAGAGUUAGAGAAAGCAGCAAAGACUACAAGACUUCAGAGUCACAGCUGGCUACAAACCCACCCCCUGCACCCAGUACCACUAGCUGGAGACACUGGAAGAUGCUCUUGUUAUUCUCGGAUCACCGCCUACCCCCAAAACCCAUCCUCCCUGCUGCCUUACCUGAGAAGUUGAACCCCAGAGACAGAAAGGAUCACCUGCACUCCUUGUACUGGGCCUUCCCAUCGGCCAACGUGUGGCAUGAACGAGGCUGCAUCCCUCUUCCAUAGCACCUGCACUCGUAGGCUCUGCAAAUUUCAUCCCCACCUUUGGCCCUUCAGGCCUAGGGCAAGUCACAGCUCCCCAGAACUGUUCAUCCCCAGGUGUCUCGCCAUCCCUAGAUAGCACCUGUAAGCCUGACUACACCUCUGUAAAGCGUGCCCUUCAUUAAAUUUUCUUCUGUUAAACCCUUUGGAGUGGGUCUUGGUUUUCCUGCCAGAACCAUGACUGACAUGGACAGUUACUUAACCUCUCUGAGUAUUGACUUCUUUGCCUCUAAAAUGAGGAUGAAAAUAUUUACUUGGCAAGGUUAUGGCAAAGGUUAUGUGAGAUGACCUCUAUGGAGCAUCCAUUAUGUGUCUGGCACUAUACGAUGCAUUUUACAUGCAUGAAUUCUCC